rnacentral:pre_miRNA from 1 species
GGGGUUUGGAAUGAAGCUUGUUCCAAAAUCUAUUCUUCUAUACUUUUUGAUAUCAAAUUAUAGCACUAUAAUGGACAGAUGGGAUUUCGGACCAGGCUUCGUUCCUCACACC